rnacentral:rRNA from 1 species
AGCUGCGGCAGCGACACUGAUGUGUUGUUGGGUAGGGGAGCGUUCUGUAAGCCGUUGAAGGUGGCCUGUGAGGGUUGCUGGAGGUAUCAGAAGUGCGAAUGCUGACAUAAGUAACGAUAAAGCGGGUGAAAAGCCCGCUCGCCGGAAGACCAAGGGUUCCUGUCCAACGUUAAUCGGGGCAGGGUGAGUCGACCCCUAAGGCGAGGCCGAAAGGCGUAGUCGAUGGGAAACGGGUUAAUAUUCCCGUACUUGGUGUUACUGCGAAGGGGGGACGGAGAAGGCUAUGUUGGCCGGGCGACGGUUGUCCCGGUUUAAGCGUGUAGGUGUGUGUUCCAGGUAAAUCCGGUUCACUUUAACACUGAGGCGUGAUGACGAGGCACUACGGUGCUGAAGCAACAAAUGCCCUGCUUCCAGGAAAAGCCUCUAAGCCUCAGGUAACAUCAAAUCGUACCCCAAACCGACACAGGUGGUCAGGUAGAGAAUACCAAGGCGCUUGAGAGAACUCGGGUGAAGGAACUAGGCAAAAUGGUGCCGUAACUUCGGGAGAAGGCACGCUGACACGUAGGUGAAGUGGUUUACCCAUGGAGCUGAAGUCAGUCGAAGAUACCAGCUGGCUGCAACUGUUUAUUAAAAACACAGCACUGUGCAAACACGAAAGUGGACGUAUACGGUGUGACGCCUGCCCGGUGCCGGAAGGUUAAUUGAUGGGGUCAGCGCAAGCGAAGCUCCUGAUCGAAGCCCCGGUAAACGGCGGCCGUAACUAUAACGGUCCUAAGGUAGCGAAAUUCCUUGUCGGGUAAGUUCCGACCUGCACGAAUGGCGUAAUGAUGGCCAGGCUGUCUCCACCCGGGACUCAGUGAAAUUGAACUCGCUGUGAAGAUGCAGUGUACCCGCGGCAAGACGGAAAGACCCCGUGAACCUUUACUAUAGCUUGACACUGAACACUGGUCCUUGAUGUGCAGGAUAGGUGGGAGGCUUUGAAGUGUGGACGCCAGUCUGCAUGGAGCCAUCCUUGAAAUACCACCCUUUAAUGGCUGGUGUUCUAACGUGGGCCCCUGACCGGGGUUGCGGACAGUGUCUGGUGGGUAGUUUGACUGGGGCGGUCUCCUCCUAAAGAGUAACGGAGGAGCACGAAGGUUGGCUAAUCCUGGUCGGACAUCAGGAGGUUAGUGCAAUGGCAUAAGCCAGCUUGACUGCGAGCGUGACGGCGCGAGCAGGUGCGAAAGCAGGUCAUAGUGAUCCGGUGGUUCUGAAUGGAAGGGCCAUCGCUCAACGGAUAAAAGGUACUCCGGGGAUAACAGGCUGAUACCGCCCAAGAGUUCAUAUCGACGGCGGUGUUUGGCACCUCGAUGUCGGCUCAUCACAUCCUGGGGCUGAAGUAGGUCCCAAGGGUAUGGCUGUUCGCCAUUUAAAGUGGUACGCGAGCUGGGUUUAGAACGUCGUGAGACAGUUCGGUCCCUAUCUGCCGUGGGCGCUGGAAGAUUGAGGGGGGCUGCUCCUAGUACGAGAGGACCGGAGUGGACGCAUCACUGGUGUUCGGGUUGUCAUGCCAAUGGCACUGCCCGGUAGCUACAUGCGGAAGAGAUAAGUGCUGAAAGCAUCUAAGCACGAAACUUGCCCC